ensembl:lncRNA
GCUUUAGUGACUUACGAGCUCACCAUGGACAUCACCAACCGCAUCUACAACAGCUCUCUACUCAAGUCCAACUCUUCUGAUUAUGCGAUCUUGUACAAACAAUUACUGACAUGCUCAACUCCAUCUACGGCUGUGCCACGUGUAAAACACACGUGUUUUAUGGCAAUGUGUCAGCGAUGACCUUCAGCAAUCAAACUGGAACCGUGCUCGUAAAGGCUAGUCUCGUGUUCCAGUCAAACAAAACCAACGCUGAUGAGAUCAAAGGGCUGUUUAUGAACGCGACCGCUGGCGAUAAGGAAAUAAACGGCCUUAAAGUCAACCCUAAUUUCACACAAGUUUCAGUGAAAUCUGAGGAGGCUCCGAAUGCUUUAGUGACUUACGAGCUCACCAUGGACAUCACCAACCGCAUCUACAACAGCUCUCUACUCAAGUCCAACUCUUCUGAUUAUGCGAUCUUGUACAAACAAGUUACUGACAUGUUCAACUCCAUCUACGGCUGUGCCACGUGUAAAACACACAUGUUUUAUGGCAAUGUGUCAGCGAUGACCUUCAGCAAUCAAACUGGAACCGUGCUCGUAAAGGCUAGUCUCGUGUUCCAGUCAAACAAAACCAACGCUGAUGAGAUCAAAGAGCUGUUUAUGAACGCGACCGCUGGCGAUAAGGAAAUAAACGGCCUUAAAGUCAACCCUAAUUUCACACAAGUCAUAGCACCACCGUCCACCCCUGCACCAACUGUCUCCAGCACUUCCCAUACAACCAAGUCUCCACUUCUUGCAACUACACACUACAACACCGCCUCGUCCUUUAAUCAAAGUCCCAUUGCUCUGACGUCAAUUCUCCGCUAUACUGUUUCGUUCUGCCUGCUUUACUUCCUCAGCUAUUCUUUUUAAUUGUGUAAACCUGCCACUAGGGGCAGUGCAACAUCUUUAUAUAAUGAAAUACGUUAAUCUACAGGGUGUACCAACAAUCUCCUUACAUAGUGGACUAUGUUCACCAGCAUCACGUCGGUUGUGUCUUUAUGAGUGGAUGUUGGUGAAUGUCCACUUCUCGGUCUGCAACACUUAUAUAUAUAUAUAUAUAUAUAUAUAUAUAUA